rnacentral:rRNA from 1 species
CAGUAGCCACGGUAAUGCGAAGGGUACAAGCGUUAAUCGGAAUUACUGGGCGUAAAGCGCACGUAGGCGGCUUUGUAAGUUAGAGGUGAAAGCCCAGAGCUCAACUCUGGAAUUGCCUUUAAGACUGCAUCGCUUGAAUCCAGGAGAGGUGAGUGGAAUUCCGAGUGUAGAGGUGAAAUUCGUAGAUAUUCGGAAGAACGCCAGUGGCGAAGGCGGCUCACUGGACUGGUAUUGACGCUGAGGUGCGAAAGCGUGGGGAGCAAACAGGAUUAGAUACCCGCGUAGUCCCUGUCUCUUAUAU